rnacentral:rRNA from 1 species
GCUCAGUAACACGUGGACAAUCUGCCCUUGGGUCUGGGAUAACUCCGGGAAACUGGAGAUAAUACCAGAUAGGUCAUAGAUGCUGGAAUGCUCUAUGGCCCAAAGCUCCGGCGCCCAAGGAUGAGUCUGCGGCCUAUCAGGUUGUAGUGGGCGUAAUGGACCCACUAGCCUACGACGGGUACGGGUUGUGAGAGCAAGAGCCCGGAGAUGGAUUCUGAGACAUGAAUCCAGGCCCUACGGGGCGCAGCAGGCGCGAAACCUUUACAAUGCGCGCAAGCGCGAUAAGGGGACCUCGAGUGUUCCUACCUAGUAGGAACUGUCCAGUUGUCUAAAAAACAACUGUUAGCAAGAGCCGGGCAAGACCGGUGCCAGCCGCCGCGGUAACACCGGCGGCUCGAGUGGUGACCGCUUUUAUUGGGUCUAAAGGGUCUGUAGCCGGUCUAACAAGUUCUUUGGAAAAUCUGGUCGCUUAACGAUCAGGCUGCUAGGGGAUACUGUUAGACUUGGGACCGGGAGAGGCUAGAGGUACUUUAGGGGUAGGGGUGAAAUCCUGUGAUCCUUAAAGGACCACCAGUGGCGAAGGCGUCUAGCUAGAACGGAUCCGACGGUGAGGGACGAAAGCUGGGGGCACGAACCGGAUUAGAUACCCGGGUAGUCCCAGCCGUAAACGAUGCGAGCUAGGUGUCAGUUUUACUGCGAGUAAAAUUGGUGCCGUAGGGAAGCCGUGAAGCUCGCCACCUGGGAAGUACGGCCGCAAGGCUGAAACUUAAAGGAAUUGGCGGGGGAGCACUACAACGGGUGGAGCCUGCGGUUUAAAUGGAUUCAACGCCGG